AUACGGAGGGGGCAAGCGUUGUUCGGAAUUACUGGGCGUAAAGCGCGCGUAGGCGGGCUGGUUAGUUGGGGGUGAAAUCCCAGGGCUUAACCCUGGAACUGCCUUCAAUACUGCCAGUCUAGAGUUCGAGAGAGGUGAGUGGAAUUCCUAGUGUAGAGGUGAAAUUCGUAGAUAUUAGGAAGAACACCAGUGGCGAAGGCGGCUUACUGGCUCGAUACUGACGCUGAGGCGCGAAAGCGUGGGGAGCAAACAGGAUUAGAAACCCGAGUAGUCC
rnacentral:rRNA from 1 species